rnacentral:rRNA from 1 species
AAGACCUUGCGCUUUUGGAGCGGCUGAUGCCUGAUUAGCUUAUUGGUAAGGUAAAAGCUUACCAAGGCUUCGAUCAGUAGCUGGUCUGAGAGGACGACCAGCCACACUGGGACUGAGACACGGCCCAGACUCCUACGGGAGGCAGCAGUGGGGAAUUUUGGACAAUGGGGGCAACCCUGAUCCAGCCAUGCCGCGUGAGUGAAGAAGGCCUUCGGGUUGUAAAGCUCUUUCAGCCGGAACGAAACGGUUACGGUUAAUACCCGUGAUUACUGACGGUACCGGAAGAAGAAGCACCGGCUAACUACGUGCCAGCAGCCGCGGUAAUACGUAGGGUGCGAGCGUUAAUCGGAAUUACUGGGCGUAAAGCGUGCGCAGGUGGUUUUGUAAGUCAGAUGUGAAAGCCCCGGGCUCAACCUGGGAACU